rnacentral:rRNA from 1 species
GAUGAACGCUGGCGGCGUGCUUAACACAUGCAAGUCGAACGAAGCACUCUAUUUGAUUUUCUUCGGAAAUGAAGAUUUUGUGACUGAGUGGCGGACGGGUGAGUAACGCGUGGGUAACCUGCCUCAUACAGGGGGAUAACAGUUGGAAACGACUGCUAAUACCGCAUAAGCGCACAGGAUCGCAUGAUCUGGUGUGAAAAACUCCGGUGGUAUGAGAUGGACCCGCGUCUGAUUAGCCAGUUGGCAGGGUAACGGCCUACCAAAGCGACGAUCAGUAGCCGACCUGAGAGGGUGACCGGCCACAUUGGGACUGAGACACGGCCCAAACUCCUACGGGAGGCAGCAGUGGGGAAUAUUGCACAAUGGGGGAAACCCUGAUGCAGCGACGCCGCGUGAGCGAAGAAGUAUUUCGGUAUGUAAAGCUCUAUCAGCAGGGAAGAAGAAUGACGGUA